CGGUGGAGCAUGUGGUUUAAUUCGACGCAACGCGAAGAACCUUACCAGGGCUUGACAUCCCCUGACCGCGUAUGAAAGUACGUUUUCACCUUCGGGUGACAGGGAGACAGGUGGUGCAUGGUUGUCGUCAGCUCGUGUCGUGAGAUGUUGGGUUAAGUCCCGCAACGAGCGCAACCCCUACGUUUAGUUGCUAACGCGUGAAGGCGAGCACUCUAGACGAACUGCCGUUGACAAAACGGAGGAAGGUGGGGAUGACGUCAAAUCAUCAUGCCCCUUAUGUUCUGGGCUACACACGUGCUACAAUGGCCGGUACAAAGGGCAGCCACUCAGCGAUGAGGCGCUAAUCCCAUAAAGCCGGUCUCAGUCCGGAUCGCAGUCUGCAACUCGACUGCGUGAAGUUGGAAUCGCUAGUAAUCGUAGAUCAGCAUGCUACGGUGAAUACGUUCCCGGGCCUU
rnacentral:rRNA from 1 species